CUGGCUCAGGACGAACGCUGGCGGCGUGCCUAACACAUGCAAGUCGAACGGAGUUAAGCUCUUCGGAACUUGACUUAGUGGCGAACGGGUGAGUAACGCGUGAGGAACCUGCCUUUCAGUGGGGGACAACAGUUGGAAACGACUGCUAAUACCGCAUGACACUUUUGGGAGACAUCUCUUGGAAGUCAAAGCUUUAAGUGCUGAAAGAUGGCCUCGCGUCUGAUUAGCUAGUUGGUGAGGUAACGGCUCACCAAGGCGACGAUCAGUAGCCGGUCUGAGAGGAUGAACGGCCACAUUGGGACUGAGAUACGGCCCAGACUCCUACGGGAGGCAGCAGUGGGGAAUAUUGGGCAAUGGGGGAAACCCUGACCCAGCAACGCCGCGUGAAGGAAGAAGGCCUUCGGGUUGUAAACUUCUUUUACCAGGGACGAAGGACGUGACGGUACCUGGAGAAAAAGCAACGGCUAACUACGUGCCAGCAGCCGCGGUAAUACGUAGGUUGCAAGCGUUGUCCGGAUUUACUGGGUGUAAAGGGCGUGUAGGCGGAGAUGCAAGUUGGGAGUGAAAACCAUGGGCUCAACCCAUGAACUGCUCUCAAAACUGUAUCCCUUGAGUAUCGGAGAGGCAAGCGGAAUUCCUAGUGUAGCGGUGAAAUGCGUAGAUAUUAGGAGGAACACCAGUGGCGAAGGCGGCUUGCUGGACAUUAACUGACGCUGAGGCGCGAAAGCGUGGGGAGCAAACAGGAUUAGAUACCCUGGUAGUCCACGCUGUAAACGAUGAAUACUAGGUGUGGGAGGACUGACCCCUUCCGUGCCGCAGUUAACACAAUAAGUAUUCCACCUGGGGAGUACGACCGCAAGGUUGAAACUCAAAGGAAUUGACGGGGGCCCGCACAAGCAGUGGAUUAUGUGGUUUAAUUCGACGCAACGCGAAGAACCUUA
rnacentral:rRNA from 1 species